rnacentral:rRNA from 1 species
AGAGCGAACGCUGGCGGCAUGCUUAACACAUGCAAGUCGCACGAAGGUUUCGGCCUUAGUGGCGGACGGGUGAGUAACGCGUAGGUAUCUAUCCACGGGUGGGGAUAACAGCGGGAAACUGCUGCUAAUACCGCAUGAAGCCUGAGGGCCAAAGGCGCAAGUCGCCUGUGGAGGAGCCUGCGUACGAUUAGCUAGUUGGUGGGGCAACUGCCUACCAAGGCGACGAUCGUUAGCUGGUCUGAGAGGAUGAUCAGCCACAUUGGGACUGAGACACGGCCCAAACUCCUACGGGAGGCAGCAGUGGGGAAUAUUGGACAAUGGGGGCAACCCUGAUCCAGCAAUGCCGCGUGUGUGAAGAAGGUCUUCGGAUUGUAAAGCACUUUCGACGGGGACGAUGAUGACGGUACCCGUAGAAGAGCCCCGGCUAACUUCGUGCCAGCAGCCGC